rnacentral:rRNA from 1 species
AAUAAACGCUGGCGGCGUGCCUAACACAUGCAAGUCGAGCGAGAAAGCUCCUUCGGGAGUUAGUAAAGCGGCGAACGGGUGAGCAACACGUGAGAAUCUACCCUUUAGUGAAGAAUACCCUCGAGAAAUCGAGGCUAAUACUGCAUACGUCCCUUCGGGGAGAAAGAUGGCCUCUUUGCUAUCGCUAAAGGAUGAGCUUGCGUACUAUUAGCUAGUUGGCGGGGUAAAGGCCCACAAGGCAAUGAUGGUUAACCGGCCUGAGAGGGUGUACGGUCACACUGGAACUUAGACACGGUCCAGACUCCUACGGGAGGCAGCAGUGAGGAAUCUUGCGCAAUGGGCGAAAGCCUGACGCAGCGACGCCGCGUGGAGGAUGACGGUUUUCGGAUUGUAACUCCUGUUAAGCGGGAAGAAAGCCUUGUUUCUAAUACAAGCAAGGUAUGACGGUACCGCUAGAGAAGCACCGGCUAACUUCGUGCCAGCAGCC